GGGAAGUAAAAGUCGUAACAAGGUCUCCGUUGGUGAACCAGCGGAGGGAUCAUUACCGAGUUUACAACUCCCAAACCCCUGUGAACAUACCACUUGUUGCCUCGGCGGAUCAGCCCGCUCCCGGUAAAACGGGACGGCCCGCCAGAGGACCCCUAAACUCUGUUUCUAUAUGUAACUUCUGAGUAAAACCAUAAAUAAAUCAAAACUUUCAACAACGGAUCUCUUGGUUCUGGCAUCGAUGAAGAACGCAGCAAAAUGCGAUAAGUAAUGUGAAUUGCAGAAUUCAGUGAAUCAUCGAAUCUUUGAACGCACAUUGCGCCCGCCAGUAUUCUGGCGGGCAUGCCUGUUCGAGCGUCAUUUCAACCCUCAAGCACAGCUUGGUGUUGGGACUCGCGUUAAUUCGCGUUCCCCAAAUUGAUUGGCGGUCACGUCGAGCUUCCAUAGCGUAGUAGUAAAACCCUCGUUACUGGUAAUCGUCGCGGCCACGCCGUUAAACCCCAACUUCUGAAUGUGACCUCGGAUCAGGUAGGAUUCCCCCAAUACUCUU
rnacentral:rRNA from 1 species